UCCCUCAUAUCUUAGAUGGUAAAGAAUCUGCCUGCAAUGCAGGGGACCCAGGUUCGAUCCCUGCACUGGGAA
rnacentral:tRNA from 1 species